UUGGGUGGCGAGUGGCGAACGGGUGAGUAAUAUAUCGGAACGUACCGAGUAAUGGGGGAUAACUAAUCGAAAGAUUAGCUAAUACCGCAUAUUCUCUGAGGAGGAAAGCAGGGGACCUUCGGGCCUUGCGUUAUUCGAGCGGCCGAUAUCUGAUUAGCUAGUUGGUGGGGUAAAGGCCUACCAAGGCGACGAUCAGUAGCGGGUCUGAGAGGAUGAUCCGCCACACUGGGACUGAGACACGGCCCAGACUCCUACGGGAGGCAGCAGUGGGGAAUUUUGGACAAUGGGCGCAAGCCUGAUCCAGCCAUGCCGCGCGUCUGAAGAAGGCCUUCGGGUUGUAAAGGACUUUUGUCAGGGAAGAAAAGGCUGUUGCUAAUAUCGACAGCUGAUGACGGUACCUGAAGAAUAAGCACCGGCUAACUACGUGCCAGCAGCCGCGGUAAUACGUAGGGUGCGGGCGUUAAUCGGAAUUACUGGGCGUAAAGCGAGCGCAGACGGUUACUUAAGCAGGAUG
rnacentral:rRNA from 1 species